CUCUGCAGACAACUGGCAGUCAGGAGAGGGGCAGCUGCCACACUCUUCAGAUAUCUCUCUAUUUAAAGUUCAAAGAGACGCUGGAUGACACCAACAAAGAGGUGAGCGUGGCCCUGACCAACCCACCCAGCAACAGGAAGAAUGGCUGAAAAAGCAGAGUCUACAUCAUCCCGCCUUCUGGUCCCUAUUCUUCUCUUGAUUGGCUGGAUUGUGGGCUGUAUCGUAAUGGUUUAUGUUGUCUUCUCUUAGAAAGACAAGAAGACUUCAGAGUGACAUCAUUUAGAAGAAUUAAGAAAAGCACCAACAUGACAGAUAAUUAAACGUUUCUCAUGAGAAGGCCCUAUCCCAGGUAGUGAAAGCAUUGUGCCCUUCUGAUUACUCAUCUUAGCCCAAGAAAAUAGUGACGAGAAGUCUAACUCGAUAUUCCACCCUGGAAAGACUGUUGGAAUUCCUCUGCCCUUGAGAUCAACGGUGCCUGUGUUGGUGACUAUCUGUAGAAGGACUUGAAGAACAAUGAAAAGUUAAAGGCUCAGUAAUCAUCAAUCAUGUUGCAGUUAAUUAAACUGA